CUCGAGGCCAGAUCUAGAGUUUGAUCCUGGCUGAGGACGAAUGCUGGCGGCGUGCCUAAUGCAUGCAAGUCGAGGGAGAACCAUCCGAUCCGUAAGGAGCGGAUGGGGAAACCGGCGAACGGGUGCGUAACACGUGAGCAACCUGCCCCAGAGAUCGGGAUAGCCCGAGGAAACUCGGAUUAAUACCGAAUAUUCUCAUCGGACCGCAUGGCCUGAUGAGGAAACGCUUUUGUGCUCUGGGAUGGGCUCGCGGCCUAUCAGCUUGUUGGUGAGGUAACGGCUCACCAAGGCUCCGACGGGUAGCUGGUCUGAGAGGACGAUCAGCCACACUGGAACUGAGACACGGUCCAGACUCCUACGGGAGGCAGCAGCAGGGAAUCUUGCGCAAUGGGCGAAAGCCUGACGCAGCAACGCCGCGUGAGGGAUGACGGCCUUCGGGUUGUAAACCUCUUUCAGGAGGGAAGAAAUUGACGGUACCUCCAGAAGAAGCACCGGCCAACUACGUGCCAGCAGCCGCGGUAAUACGUAGGGUGCAAGCAUUGUCCGGAUUUAUUGGGCGUAAA
rnacentral:rRNA from 1 species